rnacentral:rRNA from 1 species
UACGUAGGGGGCUAGCGUUAUCCGGAAUUACUGGGCGUAAAGGGUGCGUAGGUGGUUUCUUAAGUCAGAGGUGAAAGGCUACGGCUCAACCGUAGUAAGCCUUUGAAACUGGGAAACUUGAGUGCAGGAGAGGAGAGUGGAAUUCCUAGUGUAGCGGUGAAAUGCGUAGAUAUUAGGAGGAACACCAGUUGCGAAGGCGGCUCUCUGGACUGUAACUGACGCUGAGGCACGAAAGCGUGGGGAGCAAACAGGAUUAGAUACCCCGGUAGUCCCUGAGCGGGCU